GAGAGUGUAGCUCAGUGGUAGAGUGCUUGCCUAGCAUGCACGCGGUCCUAGGUUCAAUCCCCAGUAUCUUCA
rnacentral:tRNA from 1 species